ACUGUUCAUUUUUGACAGAUUGAGAAUUUUGGAUUGUUAUAGUGAUCCUCUGGAUGAUUUCCUCAACAGAAGCUUCAYUUAUUGUUAAUUCAUGCAAAGAUGUGAGAAACUUGGAUGAUUUCUUCUCUUUGAUUAUUGAGUUAGGAAAAGGACUGGUUGGGGAGGAGAAAAAUCGUUUCUCAGUAAUCCUGCUUUUUUYCCAUUUACCAACUCUUAAUCAUAGCAUUCAUAGUGUAUCAAAUAUAUUUCAAMUACGUUUGUGUUUGCUCUAUCUAUCAUGUCUGGAACCUAAUUCCAGAAAAGUAACUGCUAAACAUCCAACUAUCAUUGAUUUAUAAGAACAUUAAGCUAUCUUGCCUGCA